rnacentral:lncRNA from 10 species
GAAGGUUCCAGGAGGAUGGCGCACCCGGAAAGGGCGUGGAAGCUCCGCGCCCCUUCCCACAGACUUUCCCCCAUCCAUCUCUUCAUCUGGUGUUCAUCGAUAGCCUUUGUAAUGUCCUUAAUAGUAAACCGGAAAACCCUUGAGAUACUCCAAGCAGACUUACCUCUGUGUUGUACACCCCAUAUAUCAGGAAGAUGAAGAGACCCUGUAAAAUAAAAUGGAGGGGAAAAGCUGUUAACGCUAAUCAUUUCAGCAGUAGAAAUACCUGAAAUAAACUUUCCUGGGAACAGACAAAAGAAGACACACUUCAUCAAGAUGUACACCUAACAGCAUGGUAAGGAAGCCCCAGAAGGAUGUUUCUAAAGACCAUGAGGGAGUCUGAAACCUGAAAUCAUGCCAAGGACUCUCUGCUUCUCUUUCACUUGGGGUGUCUAUCUGAUGCUGCCACAACCAGUUGAAACGUAUAACAUUAACAAUAAAAAUUAGUUUUUUUGUAACUAA